rnacentral:ncRNA from 1 species
AUAAUGGCUGUGAACGGGAUUAGUAAGUCUCUUAAGCAAGGCCCAGAGAGCCGGGGUAGGUGGGAGCCGGUGCCUUAAGCGGAGAUUGAAUGGACCCGGGAGCCGCCGCCCUAAAAUCAAGUAUCUGAUGAGUAGGCGCGGCCGCAGGGGAGGCGUUAGAAUCCCAGGGUAUAACCUUAUUAAGGACGUACCUGUGAAGAGAUAUCCUUCUUAUAGGAUUAAAAAAGGGUGGCACCGCAGAGCCCUCUGCCCCUUAC